rnacentral:rRNA from 1 species
CGGCUCCGUAUAUCUGUUAUCACCUACAGCCCGGGGGGCGCCUGGAUAACCCAGGCAAUCCUCGGGCUAAUACAUGUUUGUGUAUUCAUCUGGGGCAAUCUGCUUGGUUGGGUUCUCCGACCCUAGUUGCUCCGGGCUUGCCCUCACAUCCGACGGCCUUCCGCCCUUUGGGCGGGAGGAUGGCGGGAAGGGCGGCAAGUGACCCACACCGGCCUUAAGCCGGGGUGGGUCAUGGAUACCAGACCUAUCAACCUCAGCGCCGGGGCGAGCCCCACGCUGGUGAUAACGGGUACAGAGGAUCAGGGUUCGGUCCUGGAGAGGUAGCCUUAGAGAUCGCUACUACUUCUAAGGAAGGCAGCAGGCGCGCAACGUUCCCACUGGGUACGCCCUGAGGACGUGAGGGGGCAUACCAAUGCGGCACCCUAAUAAGUGUCGCAAUUGGCAUGGGGGUGGCUUAGAUACACUACCGAGCAUCGAUUGGAGGACAAGUCUGGUGCCAGCACCCGCGGUAAUUCCAGCUCCAAUAGCUUCUUGUUGAGUUGCUGCAGUUAAAACGCUCGUAGUCACAGUCGGGGGGUGGUGGGUGGGCAAGUAGGCGCGGGGGUUCAUACGGGGAAUUGCCUUGCAAAGGACCUCUGCCAAUGCCCCGGCCUUCGGGCUGGGGCGGAGGUUUUAAAGUCUGCGCCGGGUGGUACUCGUCCCCGAGGCAAGAAACCCUGUUCACGCCUCCCGAUUCGCCCGGGGAUAGGGGCCGGGCUUCAGUGCCUAGUGCACCCCUCCCCGGGCACCAUACUUUGAAUAAAUUUGAGCGCUUGACGCAGGCUAUAAACGGCCCUGAAAACCCUAGCAAAGAAUAUCGGAACAGGGAUCUCCCUGGCUCCGUUGGUACUAGGGGGAUUAAUGAUUAAUAGGGGGGAUCGGGGUUGGCCACAUGGCGGGGGUAGGGGUGAAAUCCGUUGAUCCUCGCCAGGUGAACUAAAGCGAAAGCAGCCUACCAGUACCCUUUCUUUGAUCAAGAACGAAAGUCUGGGGAUCGAAGAUGAUCAGAUACCAUCGUAGUCCAGACCCUAAAUGCUGCCGAUCACGGACGGGCAACUGUCCACUCCGACCAGGCCCGAACUUCGCGGGAAACCAAGAAUGUCUGGGCUCUGGGGGGAGUACGGUCGCAAGACUGAAACUUAAAGGAAUUGACGGAACAGCACACAAGGAGUGGAGCCUGCGGCUUAAUUUGACUCAACACGGGGAAACUUACCAGGGCAAGAAGGGGGGAGGAUGGUCCGUCGAUCAGGGCGUACUUGAUUCCCCUAGUGGUGGUGCAUGGUCGUUCUUAGUUCGUGGAGUGAUUUGUCUGGUCUAUUCCGCUAACGAGCGAGAACCUACUUUUCCGUGGUUAGGCCCGGCUGCUCAACCUCGUGACCGACUCCUCUAGCUUCGGUGGGGGGGAUAGGCGGCCCGCCGAGCAUCAAGGCAGCUGGGUUCGAUCCGGGAGUACCGGCCCCGACAAGGGGCCGGAAGCAGGUCAAUAACAGGUCAGUGAUGCCCUUAGAUGCUCUGGGCCGCACGCGCGCUACAAUGGGGCGAAUAGAGGGUCGCCUGUGCCGAGAGGCGGCGGGUAAUCCUUGAAAACGCCCCCCGUCUGGGAUAGGGGCGUGAAACUCGCCCCUUGAACCAGGAAUUUCUAGUAGGUAUGGGUCACCACCCCGUGCCGAUUCUGUCCCUGCUGUUUGUACACACCGCCCGUCGCUCCUACCGAUUGAGCCCCGUGGUGAAGCGGGUGGAUCAUCAACCCCUCAUACCCCUAGAUCGUGUGUUCGCUGCGCUGGGGGGAGAGUGGGGAGAAGCCCGAUGAACCUUGGGGUUUAGAGGAAGGAGAAGUCGUAACAAGGUAUCCGUAGGUGAACCUGCA